CAGUAGCCGCGGGAAUACGGAGGAUCCGAGCGUUAUCCGGAAUUAUUGGGUUUAAAGGGUGCGUAGGCGGACAGAUAAGUCAGUGGUGAAAGACGGUGGCUCAACCAUCGCAGUGCCGUUGAUACUGUUUGUCUUGAAUAUGGAUGAGGUAGGCGGAACGUGGCAAGUAGCGGUGAAAUGCAUAGAUAUGCCACAGAACACCGAUUGCGAAGGCAGCUUACCAAGGCAAUAUUGACGCUGAGGCACGAAAGCGUGGGGAUCGAACAGGAUUAGAUACCCCUGUAGUCCCUGUCUCUUAUAC
rnacentral:rRNA from 1 species